rnacentral:rRNA from 1 species
UACAGAGGGGGGAAGCGUUGUUCGGAAUUACUGGGCGUAAAGGGCGCGUAGGCGGCCUGUUAAGUCGAACGUGAAAUCCCCGGGCUCAACCCGGGAACUGCGUCCGAUACUGGCAGGCUUGAAUCCGGGAGAGGGAUGCGGAAUUCCAGGUGUAGCGGUGAAAUGCGUAGAUAUCUGGAGGAACACCGGUGGCGAAGGCGGCAUCCUGGACCGGCAUUGACGCUGAGGCGCGAAAGCCAGGGGAGCAAACGGG